rnacentral:rRNA from 1 species
ACUCAAAUGAAUUGACGGGGGCCCGCACAAGCGGUGGAACAUGUGGUUUAAUUCGACGCAACGCGAAGAACCUUACCUGGGCUUGAACUACGGAUGGUAGGCUGUUGGAAACAGUGGCCGACCCGCAAGGGAGUCCGCAGAGGUGCUGCAUGGUUGUCGUCAGCUCGUGUCGUGAGAUGUUGGGUUAAGUCCCGCAACGAGCGCAACCCCUAUCCGAUGUUGCUACUCCCGCAAGGGAGGCACUCUUCGGAAACUGCCUUCGAUAAGAAGGAGGAAGGUGGGGAUGACGUCAAAUCCUCAUGGCCCUUAUGUCCAGGGCUACACACGUGUUACAAUGGCCGGUACAGAGGGAAGCAAUACCGUAAGGUGGAGCCAAACCCACAAAGCCGGCCCCAGUUCAGAUUGUGGGCUGCAACUCGCCCACAUGAAGGCGGAAUCGCUAGUAAUCGCUGAUCAGCAGGCAGCGGUGAAUACGUUCCCGGGCCUUGUACACACCGCCCGU